rnacentral:lncRNA from 1 species
AUGGAUGUGGACACACACACGUGCAAAGAAACACACAAUCGUGAAUCUACACAACCACACGUGUGUGCACCCACACACACCUGCGCGCUCACACACACGCACACAGACACGUGUACUGACACGUGGACAUCCACAUGCAUUCCCAUGUGCACACACAUGCACAAACACGUGAACACACACGCUCAUAUGUGCACACCCACGUGCAAGCUCACACACGUGAACUCUCAGACAGAUACAGCCAGCCACACGCAUCCACGUGAACGCUCACACGUGUCCACUUGCACACACACACACACUUGCACACAUGUGCACACAUCCACAUGUGGGCAGUCACCCCCCCACACACACGUGUGCACACUCACGGCCGUGGACACAAUCACACGCGUGUGCUGUCAGCCACACACAUGCACUCUCACAUGCGUGUGCACUCACACCCGUGUCACACGUGCACACGUACACAUCUGCAUCCCCUCGCACACUCACACGUGGACACACACAUACACACCCGCGUCCUUGCACAGGCGUGUAUCCUCUCACACACGCGUGUACACGCACGCGCCCCUCCAUGCACACACAUACACGCACACAUCCCCACUCACACCCAUGUGCAAACACACACGUGUCCACACACACAAGCGGCCACACACACGUGUCCUUUUACACGCACACGUUCCCUCUCACACCCAUGUGCACACACAUGUCCACACACACACACGUGUCCUUUUACACACGCACGCACACGCACUUCACACACACGCUCACACGCGCUCCCAUGUACACACACAUGUGUCCACUCACACUCACGCCUGUACAAACACACACGUGUCCACACACACACACGCACACACGCACACACGGCUGUUCACACGCACACGUGUCCGCUCACACACAUGUAAUCACACACAUCCCUCACGCACACGUGUACACACACCCCCCCAACCACACACAUACACACACGCGUGUAUACACACUCACAUUUGCACACACACACGUACAUACGCACACACGUGUACACACACACCCCCAUCCAAACACACACGUGUACGCACGCACACGUGUCUCCCGCACACCCGUGUGCACGCUCACGUGUCUGCUCACACACACACGUUCCCUCUCACACACACGUACACACACGUGUCUCCCACCCCACACGUGCACUCACACGCACGUGCACACGCACGCACACGUGCCCCCUCACACAGACACACACAUGUCCACACGUGUCCCCAGACACACGCACGUACACUCACACACGUGUACACACACACCCGUGCCCCCCCCUGCACCGACGUCCCCUCACACGCACACACGUAG